AUACUCUUAUGUUUGGAGGGACCUAGCAUUUUCUUGAAUUGAUUAUGAAAAGAUACCAAAGCUAUAAGAAGCAUGGCUUGUUUUUGCAUGGUUUAUUUAGAAGCAUUUAAGCUUUUUCUUACAAAGAUGGAAAAAAAGUUAAUGCAACAGUACAUUUGUGAAGGAUGAAGAGGAAAAAUACAAGGUAAGAAAGGAACUUGAUGGCACAGAGAUUAAUUGAAAAAAAAAUUGCUUUUGGAAUUUUUAACCCCCCAGUUUACUUUAGCUGGGCCACGGCGAUCAGUUGUAUAGCUCAUUAGCUGUCAGUAACUCACUAUGUAGGAAAGCCUGGUGGACUUUCACUUGUGGAGCUUUCAAGUAGUUGAUCUUCAGCUUAUGGGGCACUAUAAAACUGGUAUUUUGGGACACGGAAUAGCGGUUUUAUAGUGUGCGGCAUGCCCUGUAAAGAACAGAGCAAUUCAAGGCAGCUAAUGAGUUUCCCUUCUUCCUGUAGUUUGUGGGGGCGGUGGCAGGUUGGGGGCACUUAUUAUCAAGUGGCAAAUACUACCAGAUUUAACAUCAGUUUAAUUCUGAUGAUGAGUAUUCGCCUGCCUUUAAAAUUUCUUUUCCACAAUGACUAGGAGAAGAACUGGUGCUAUUUUUUUUCUUAAUGAAACAGCCGAGUAGAAUUAUGCAUGCAUGUAUGUAUGUCACAGCAUUCACCCAAGGCAUUCAGGACACUAACCCAUUUCUCCUCCACAGUCUGCAUGCUGUAGUCAUAAUGCUGCAUUGCUGUUUCUCCCGGUGCCGCUGUGUAAUUCUACUGCUAUCCUCUGAUUUGUUCAUGAUCAGCUGCACCAGCUUUUUAUCAUGAGCUGCAGGAAUUUUACUCACCCUGCACUCCCCUUUCCCAGCAGCAGACUGUGAAAUUUCCUACACAGGAUGUCAUUCUUCUGACAAAUGCAAGAAAACACCCACCCCUCAAAAAACACAGUUACAUCCCAUUAUUUAGAAAAAAAAAAAUAACCACCACCAUACAGCUUAACUCCUUUGUCUGUCAAUUCAGACAUUUAUUUCACCUUGAAAAAAAUCCCUAUGAUACAAGACAGGCACUUUCCAACUACCUUCAGUAAAAAAAAGUGCAAGUCUUUGCUGUGUUUUGAAGGGGAGCACAUUUGAUGGAUAUUUUAAGUUCUAAAAGGCUGCAGGUCACUUCAAAGCCUCCAAUGCUGUAUUUACUUGUGGAAUGUGAGGAGAGGGUAAAAAUUCAUUAGCAACCUGCUGAACAUUUCACAUUUCUAUGUAAAUGGGUAUUGAUCAGUUCAGCCUGGAAUAAACCAGUGGCCUUGAAAUAAACAGAAGCAGGUGAGUGGCAGGGGGGGAUGGGGGCACUUUACAGAAGCAACAAAAAAAAAAAACUAAGGGGGUGGCACACAAAUCCAGAAUUGCUGAAUGAGCAUUAGCUCUUGCAUGUGACCUCUGGCCUGCCUAUAGCCUAAAUCCUGCUCACAAAAGAUUCCUGUUCCAGUUGGAUCGCCCUAUUUUUUCAAACAUCAGCUCCCAUUUUAACACCUCGUUGGGGAAGUGGUUAAAACCACAGGCUAUACACCAAGAGGUAGAUGAAAGGCGUUGGGGAGGGAGGGUUAGAGAGACAGAGAGAGAGAGAGAGAGAAAUAAAAGUAAAGGCAGACUCUGUUUUGAUGAAGCCAUUUGGCUUCAGGAACUCCCCUAUUCCCUGGAUGCUGCAAUCAAGUUUGCAAAGGACAAAGGCUGAGUAAGACACUAAAAGCGAUGGGAACAGGAAAGGCCAGCAGAAUAAUACAAGGGGGGAUCUUAGACAUUUUUGGCCAAGCCCUCAAGCCACAGCAAUGGAAAUAAAGGAGUAGGAUGAUCACCCUAACUCAUGAAGAAGAAAAAAAAAAAAUAAUAAAUCACUUUUUUUUUUUUCUCUAGCUCUCUGGAGGACACAUGAGGUCAACAGCAAAGACACAGCAAAACGGAUUGAAAAAUGUUUCAUACACAAGAUACAAGCCUAGUUUUAUUCUGGCUCAUUGGACGCAAGUACUACUACUUCAGGACAUGAGGAAGCGCAGAAGCCGACAGCAUCACCUCUUUCUCCUCCCACAGCCCGAGCAACCACCCACUGUGAGCAACCGACUCCGCCCCUUUCAGUCCAUCCACUGUAAAGCCGUGGUGCUCCUGGCAAGGACCAUCUCAUUCCGGAGAGAAGAGGCCUAAGAACGGAGCUCCCACCUGAGUACCACCUACAUUAAGAGAACACUGAAUCCUCCGUUUGUAAUUAUUUGAUGCACUAUUUGGAAACUGUAAAUAUUAAAAGGGGUGACCUGGUUGGUUCCCCUACAUUUCCACUGUGACAAGUAUGUUCCCUUGGUCGAUGACAUGUUAUUUUACAAAUAUAUUUUAAGCUUGCUGCUUGAAUCACUGCACAAGUUUAGGUGCAGCACACUCAUCAUAGGCAAUGUUGAGCCAAAAUCCAUUUUAAAAGAAUAAACUUAAGUGUUAGUUACAGAAAAGUGAAUAGAGAGGGAGAUCCAAAAACAAAUUCCCAUGUGCCAAUGUGUUUUUAAAUUCAUUUAACUGUACGACAUGGUGGCACAGUGGCUUGUGUUCAUUCCAUAUAGCUAAUUUUUCUCAGUUUGAUUCAUAGACUGGUCAUCACCUUUUUGAACUUUAAACAUUAUCAUGGAUUUACUGGUACAACUGAGUGUGCACCCUUGUGUCAUCUGUGUUGAGAAUUGUUCUGUGAAAUUUACACAACCCACAUUUUAAUAGUCAUUCAGUUAAUGGCCUUAUUUACCAAUGUACAUGUAUGGCCUAGCGGUUAGUGAUCCUGCUGCCUCACGAGUCUGGAGCCAUUUGAACUCUGCAUGUACUCCUUUAUGUACAAAUGCCCAUAUAGUGGCUAUAUUUACAAACCGAUACUGUAAUACAUGUAUUUAAUCCUUAUAACAUAUAUUCUGUUAUUGAUGCUGAAAAUUUAAUUCAUCCACCUUUCUUGCUAGACUUAUAAAGAAGAUUUAGAAGGGAAUUCAUUACUUCUUUUAUCUGUUCCUUUGAGCUACCACUACUUGAAAUUGCUGCCACAUACACUAUUUCUGUAGAAGCAGACUUUAGAUUACAUAUAUUUAUUCUUCUACAGUAACAGGUUGCAGCAUUUAUUCAAUAAGCAAUAGGCAACUAACAUUUCAACAACUUUAUGGGCUCUAAAUUACCCGGGUCUUGCUGUUAUCCAUAUAUCUAAACAGUUUUUGUAUGUGUUACUGCUAAAGUAAACCUGUGAGAGGAUGCUACCAAUUGCAUUUCUACAAGCAAGAUCUAUAGGCAGUAAGGUAUUUUAUACAAUAUGCAGAACUUAUAUUGAUAGCACUGGUCAGGAAACAUACCAGCCCACUUUCAAGAGAUAUCACAGGACACUGCCACAUACAUUCACUCAUACUGAUAUCUCCACAAACACACAGACUGGGACACCCUAGGAACGAAACCUGAGCUUUGGAGCUGUAAGGCAAAAGUGCUAGCCAUUCCAGCCUCCUUAAGGUUCCAACUCAAAUUAUUAUCUGAGAUCAAAUAUAAAAUGAUCGUUUAUACACAAUAGGUUUCUGUUCUUCAAUUUCCUGCAACACCCCCACCUCCUACUUGACCUCAGAAGUGUUGAAAACAGACUCAGUCAAUUCUAUCAACCGAGAGAAAAGAGCACAUUAGAAAAGUAACACUAUUAGUGACUAAAUUGCACAAUUAUUUAUGCAAUAUAAUGACCUACCUUGCAAAAAAAUUUUUUUUUUUUUUUUUGAGGAGCAGCAAUGACCCGCACAAGUCUUCAUAACCUUGUAAAGUGCAUCAGUUUGGUGCAUUUGGUUAACAAGGCAAUGCAAAUUAAAAUUGUUCAAUCUUGAAUCAAAAGUAUAUAUACAAAAAGGAGGUGGAUGCUUUCGUUAUGUGGCACAUCAGAACACAUUUAGAAAAAAAAUAGUGUGUGAAAAAUAAAAUCACAUAUUGGCUAUAAAUAUAUCAUUUUAUUUCAUCUAUUUUUUCUAUAUCAGGUUUAUUUCAAAGAUUUAAAGCCGCCUCCAAAGAGCAAGUCCUUUAAUUAAGACCAUGUCAAUGACAUGCUGGCUUUGUGGAACUCGGCAAAAAUGUGAUUCACUGCUUCUGGAGACCUGCUAAUGAAAGAUGGACGAGGAUCAUUUUGAGCUGUAAAUGUUAAGAGAUACACCUCAAAAAAUAUUUUUGUUUUGAGAGACACGCGGGACAGCUUUAUUAAAGGUUUACCCCUUUUAGCAACUAUCUGUUCAAACAAAAAAUUUUAAAUGGUACUUUAAAGUAUCAUCUUCUACUGUUUAAGAGAAAGACACUGGCUCGCCCACAAAUAUAAGUCACUUUCGAAUAGUUUGCUGUGGUUGCUUUUGCCAUUACCUGGUAAUGGCCCACCCCAAAGUGAAAUUAACAUGUGAGAAAUGCAACAGUCACGUACAGCCCUAGCUUUAAGUCACAGAAAACCAUCUUAAAAAAAAAAAAA